rfam:TPA: Bos taurus chromosome 18, whole genome shotgun sequence.
UCCUUUUUAGCUCAAAUAGUAAAGAAUCUGCCUGAGAUGCAGGAGACCAGGGUUCGAUCCCUGGGUUGGAA